rnacentral:rRNA from 1 species
GAUGGACGCUGGCGGCGUGCCUAAUACAUGCAAGUCGAGCGAAUCGGGGACGGGUGAGUAACACGUGGAUAACCUCCUAUAAGACUGGGAUAACUUCGGGAAACCGGAGCUUACCCGGCUACUUAUAGAUGGAUCCGCGCUGCAUUAGCUAGUUGGUAAGGUAACGGCUUACCAGGGCCACGAUGCAUAGCCGACCUGAGAGGGUGAACGGCCAAACUGGAAUGGAGAAACGGUCCAGACUCCGACGGGAGGCAGCAGGAGGAAAUCUUCCGCAAUGGGCGAAAGCCUGACGGAGCCACGCCGCGUGAGUGAUGAAGGUCUUCGGAUCGUAAAACUCUGUUAUUAGGGAAGCGGUACCUAAUCAGAAAGCCACGGCUAACUACGUGCCAGCAGCCGCGGUAAUAC